GGUGAACGCUGGCGGCGUGCCUAAUUCAUGCAAGUCGAGCGAACAGACGAGGAGCUUGCUCCUUUGACGUUAGCGGCGGACGGGUGAGUAACACGUGGAUAACCUACCUAUAAGACUGGGAUAACUUCGGGAAACCGGAGCUAAUACCGGAUAACAUGUUGAACCGCAUGGUUCAACAGUGAAGGACGGUCUUGCUGUCACUUAUAGAUGGAUCCGCGCCGCAUUAGCUAGUUGGUAAGGUAACGGCUUACCAAGGCAACGAUGCGUAGCCGACCUGAGAGGGUGAUCGGCCACACUGGAACUGAGACACGGUCCAGACUCCUACGGGAGGCAGCAGUAGGGAAUCUUCCGCAAUGGGCGAAAGCCUGACGGAGCAACGCCGCGUGAGUGAAGAAGGUCUUCGGAUCGUAAAACUCUGUUAUUAGGGAAGAACAAAUGUGUAAGUAACUAUGCACGUCUUGACGGUACCUAAUCAGAAAGCCACGGCUAACUACGUG
rnacentral:rRNA from 1 species